rnacentral:rRNA from 1 species
GUAACGAGCGCAACCCUGUCCUUAGUUACCAGCACGUUAUGGUGGGCACUCUAAGGAGACUGCCGGUGACAACCGAGGAAGGUGGGGAUGACGUCAAGUCAUCAUGGCCCUUACGGCCUGGGCUACACACGUGCUACAAUGGUCGGUACAAAGGGUUGCCAAGCCGCGAGGUGGAGCUAAUCCCAUAAAACCGAUCGUAGUCCGGAUCGCAGUCUGCAACUCGACUGCGUGAAGUCGGAAUCGCUAGUAAUCGUGAAUCAGAAUGUCACGGUGAAUACGUUCCCGGGCCUU